rnacentral:tRNA from 2 species
AGGAGAGUAGCUCAAUUGGCAGAGCACCGGUCUCCAAAACCGGUUGUUGCAGGUUCGAGGCCUGUCUCUCCUGCCA